AAGUGCAGUUCUCUCUGUUAACGGCUUUGUGGACCCCUUUGGCUGAAAAGAACAUCCGAGCCGUAUUCCAGACCCUUGGGUGGCCUGUCUUUCUGUGGUGACCGCACAGUCACCGUCAGGAGAUGGAGCAAGAGUGUGUGCUCGCCAACCUCGGAACCCUGCUGCCCGGUGACUUUCUGUGCUUCUCUUCUCGUCCAUAGCCUUGUGGGAACUGGAGAACAUCCUUUGAAAGAUGCUAGAAGAACUGAAGAGACAUGGGAGGCUCUGCAGUGUUUGCCUAAUGUUUUUUGGGGGUUUUUUUUUUAAUGUGUAUUUGUGUUCCUGUGUACGUGUUUGCCUGCCUCAGAGGACAGACGAGGUCGUCAGAUCCCCUGGAGCUGCAGUUGUGGGUGGUUUUGAGCUGCCCACUGUGGGUACUGGGAUUUGGGUCCUCUACAAGAACAGUAUGAGUUCUUAAUAACGGAUUUAUUUCUCCAGCUCCUUUUUCUCCAUCUUUAUUCAUUUUCCUGAAACUUUGCAACCCCAGUCUUGUGUGCCUAUUAAUUGCAUGGUUUCCUGCAACAGUCUAUUAAAAACCCCAGAAGGCCAAUAACAAGGUUUGCUACUUGAAAUUAACCUCAAUUCUUUUUUUAUUAAUGAAAUUUGGAGUCACCUUCACUAGCCAGGAAUUUAAUGGGUCAGUUAAUGCCACAGACCUGAUUUUGAGCUUUCGAAUUUGCAUUGGUUAUUACAUUGUAAGUUCAGAGAAAUGAGAAAGUAUUUCAUGAUAUGUGAAAAUUGAUUAAGUUUAAUUGUCAAUAGUUUUAGUUAAGUUUUUGUUUGUUGGUUUGUUCGUUUGUUUGAGACAGUGUUUCAUCGUGUAACAGAUUGGCCUGGGCAUAUAGACCAUGCUGGCUUCUCUCUGUCUCCCAAGUGCUGGCUCUGAAGGCAUGUACCACCACAUCUGGCUUGAAGUAACUUUGACUAAGAUCUUUGUCUAUACUUGAAUGAUACUGUCACAAAGUGGCUUCUGUUGAUAGUGAACUGUACCCUACCUGGGAAAAAAUGGCUGACCCUCCAGCCUGUCAGCCCCAAACUGCCAAAACUGUGUAAGGUUUGACCUAGGCCAGUCAGAUUGUUCUGUAUACCCUUGUCUUAUUGGCCGAAAGUUUUGGCUAAAAGUUUAACUUUGAGCUGUAUUGUAUUCAUAAGGAACUUUUUUUUUUUUUUGGUUCUUUUUUUCUGGUUCUUUUUUUCCGGAGCUGGGGACCGAACCCAGGGCCUUGCGCUUCCUAGGUAAGCGCUCUACCACUGAGCUGAAUCCCCAGCCCCCAUAAGGAACUUGUUAAACCACCUUUGGCUGUAGAACUUCCUGUUUGUUGAGAUAAAUUUAACUCAUUUUGGGAGUUUAAUAAUUGAAAUGUAACAUACUUGUUUCUGUGUAGUAUGUUUCUGUUUUUGCCUUACAGAGUUGAAUAACAUGACUGUGAGGUCUUGAAAUAUUUAGCCCUGUACAGAAAAAGAAAAUGCCCCCAUAACAUGAGGUACACGUCAGAGAUGGGUGUCUGAGGCUCAGCAGAGAGAGAUGAAUGGCAGGCUACCUACAAUUUUUGUAUUUUGUGGAACAGACUCACAGUUGAUGCCCUUUCCAAAAGUAUUCUUCCUUUAUUUAAUAGACUACCUCACACUGAUGCCGUGGUAGUGAAUCAGUUGUAUACACUUAGGCUAGCAGUCAGCCAAAAUUAUGAAUGCAAUAUUUGCUAUUGCUUUUUGUAGUUUUGUGUCAAAUGUCAUAAUAGAUGGUUGGUAUUUCAAGAUCGGUCUUUACAGCCUAAGUUCCUUUUGAAUUUACAUGCCUAGAACCCUCAGAGUUUUCCUAUGGAAUUUUAAACAUAAAUAUAUAUAUAUGUAUAUAUAUAUAUCAUACACACACACACACACACACACACACACACACACACACACACACAGAUUUGUCAGUCCUCACUGAAUUCUUACGGGUAGAUGUGGCUGGAUGAAAGAAAGAUACAGCUAAUGAGUUUCUAAAAGCUAAAAGAUUCUGGGUAGCUUUUAUUUCUUAUCAGCCUUGGCUGAAACAUUGCCCAGGUGAGAUUGACUUAUGGCUUAUGUCUGUAAGAGACUGUCUUGAUUUAUGAUUGAUAUGGGAGGUCUCUGGCCACUGUGGGUGGUGCAUCAGAGCUACAAAAGAAAGCCAGCUCGAACCAGAGAGUAAAACGCAAGCAGCGUUUUCUUCAUGGUAUCUGUUUCUAGUUCUUGCUCUUAGUGAUGGAGUGUGACCUAAAAAUGUAACCCAGAUAAACCCUUUGGACAAAGUAUUUCACCACAGCAACAGGAAGCAAACUAGAAUAGUUUAAAAAAAUGUCAAUCUGACUUAGAAUUGAAGUAAAGAUAACACUUGUAGCCUUGGUGGUGCUUAUCUUCAGUUCCAGCACUGGCAGCAGAGGGAGGCAAAUCUCCAUGAAUUAAAAGCCAGCUUGGUCUCCGGAGAACUCAAGGCCAGCUAGGACUACUUAGUGAAACACUGUCUCAAAAUAUAUAUAGUUCAUAUUUACAUAAUAAAAGCUAAAUAUUUGGUAGCUAGAGAAAUGGCUCAGUGGUUAAAAGCACUAACUGUUCUUCUAGAGUACUGGGUUUGAUUCCAAGCACCCAAACGGCAGCUCACAAUUGUCUGUAACUCCAUUUCUAGGGACAUCUGACACCUGACUCUGACCUCUACAGGAACCAGGCACACAAGUGGAACACACAUAUAUAUGCAAGGCAAAACACCCAUACAAAUCAAGUCAACUUUUUAGAAGGCAUUUGAGUAUUUAGAAAUAGAAAACUAGAAGCCAAGAAAAGAUUUUUUUAAAGUCAAAUAUUUGACAGCCAAAGCUGGUGACCACAUGGGAAAAUAGGCACUUAAUUAUACACUGCUUGAGGAAACGUAAAACGGUGCAAACACCUCUGAGAAUAAUUUAUCUGUAUCUUUUAUUGGCCUAGCAUUCCCACCAUUAGGAAUUUACCCCUGGACAUAUUUCCAAAACUAUCUUACAGAUACUAGAUUGUUUCUAGCAGCAUUGUAAACAACAACAACAACAGCAGCAACAAAGAUGGUUCUAACCCAUGUCUGCUGUCAGUUACUCCAAGAUUCCUGGAAGAAGCUUAGUCCCAAGUGUAAUAGUGAAGUGACAGAACUGAAGUAGACAGGAACCUGCUGGAAGGUAAUUAGGCCUUGGGGCUCUACCUUCGUGUUACAAUACAGCUGCACUCAGGGAGUGGGCGAGACCCACAGGACUGAGUUGGUUUCCUGUCCUGAGCCUGAUGACUCCCAAAUUUCUACAUCCACCCCUUGCCUCUUGUAUGUGUUUCCUGUUGUUAUUCCUUCCACCAUGAGGUCUUUAAACAGAUGCUGAUGUCAUAAUCUUGAAUCUCCGGAACUGGGAACUAGUAAAGAUUCUUUAAAAAUAAAGUGCCGAAUUUUUGUGUUUUGUUAAGCAACAGAAAAAUAGACUAAGAUAGAGAUUAUAUGUUGAACUUUGACAUAGCCAUAGAGUGGAAUGUGUAGCCUUAAGAUGGAAACUUUCUUUUGAUUAAUUAUAGUUUUUUUCCUUCACAUUUUUGAAGGAGAUUUGCUGAUGUCCUUAUGUCCCUUGAAAACAAGAGGAUGUUUUUAGAGUUUUGGUAGAAUACUGCCUUCAUACUCCAAGUGUUUCUUUGGCCAGCUUUCAGCUUAAGAUGUAAAGCUCUCAGCUACUCCUCCAGAGCCUGCCUCCAUGCCACCAUGCUCCCUACCAUCAUGAUAAUGGACUGCACCUCUGAGCCUGUAACCAAGCCCCCCAUUAAAUGCAUUGUAAUAGU